rnacentral:rRNA from 1 species
UACAGAGGGUGCGAGCGUUAAUCGGAAUUACUGGGCGUAAAGCGCACGUAGGUGGCGAAGUAAGUCGGGUGUGAAAGCCCCGGGCUCAACCUGGGAAUUGCAUUCGAGACUGCAUUGCUGGAGUACGGAAGAGGAGGGCGGAAUUCCCGGUGUAGCGGUGAAAUGCGUAGAUAUCGGGAGGAACAUCAGUGGCGAAGGGGGUCCUCGGGGCCGGUACUGACCAUCAAGAGCGAAAGCGUGGGGAGCAAACAGG